GCAGUGUUAUACGAACCUAGCUAGAAUUUCCUACAGAACACAACUAGCUCUGCUUUUCAUUCCUACAUGAAUGCAAUGCAUGUACAUACAUGUGUUGUAUACUGCUAGCUUCUAUUUUUCUCGGAUAUAUCAGUAAGGUGUGUAUAAAGAAAGAGAGAUAGCGAGGUCCGAAUAAAAAUAAAAAUAAAAAGCAGCCAAACAACCGAAAGAGUAAUCGACAUAAAUGCUCUUGAUAUAUCGAGGUCCAUGCUGCGGUAGGUCCAGGUAUGGAUAUAGUGGGACACUAGACGGAUUGCCUUCAAACUUGGGAACUUUCUUUUUGUUAAACAGAAAAUCAUUCCCGCCAACUCCAAAUUGGCAGACAAUCUGCUACGAGAAUAAGUAACUUGAGUGGUCAUUCCACGCGUCCAGUUUUCUAGUCCUGUGAUAGCCAUUUUAUCGCAAGCUUGCAACAAAUCAGAGCAAGAAGUGUUAUAUCA
rnacentral:lncRNA from 1 species